CCUACGGGUGGCAGCAGUGGGGAAUAUUGGACAAUGGGGGGAACCCUGAUCCAGCCAUGCCGCGUGUGUGAAGAAGGCCCUCGGGUUGUAAAGCACUUUCAGUGAGGAAGAACGCCUGGUGGUUAAUACCCAUCAGGAAAGACAUCACUCACAGAAGAAGUACCGGCUAACUCCGUGCCAGCAGCCGCGGUAAUACGGAGGGUGCGAGCGUUAAUCGGAAUUACUGGGCGUAAAGCGCGCGUAGGUGGCUUGAUAAGCCGGUUGUGAAAGCCCCGGGCUCAACCUGGGAACGGCAUCCGGAACUGUCAAGCUAGAGUGCAGGAGAGGAAGGUAGAAUUCCCGGUGUAGCGGUGAAAUGCGUAGAGAUCGGGAGGAAUACCAGUGGCGAAGGCGGCCUUCUGGACUGACACUGACACUGAGGUGCGAAAGCGUGGGUAGCAAACAGGAUUAGAUACCCCUGUAGUC
rnacentral:rRNA from 1 species